GACAGAGGGUGCAAACGUUGCUCGGAUUUACUGGGCGUAAAGCGCAAGUAGGCGGUCUUGUAAGUCGGGUGUGAAAACCCAGGGCUCAACCCUGGCAGUGCACACGAUACUGCGAGACUGGGGGUACUGAAGAGGAGAGCGGAAUUCUCGGUGUAGAGGUGAAAUUCGUAGAUAUCGGGGAGGAACACCAGUGGCGAAGGCGGCUCCCUGGGCAGAUACCGACGCUGAGAUGCGAAAGCGUGGGAAGCAAACAGG
rnacentral:rRNA from 1 species